UGCAUAAGGUGAGUGCAUGACUUAUGCACAACUGCAUGACUUCAAAUCCUGCAUUUUCUCUCUCUGCCGAAGUCUGCAUAAGGAGGGUGCAUAACUUAUGCACUUCCGCAUAACCACCAACUCUGAAUUCUAGAACUUGCCAAGACCUGCAUAAGGAGAGUGCAUGAUUUAUGCACUUCUGCAUGACCUAUUUCUCUGACCUCCAAAACAGGCCAAAACGUGCAUAAGUUAGCGCAUAAGCUAUGCACUCUUGCAUAAUCAGUUUUUCACACUUUUUAUCACCCACCGAAACCUGCAUAAGAGAGUGCAUAAGUUAU
rnacentral:misc_RNA from 1 species